AUUGAACGCUGGCGGAAUGCUUUACACAUGCAAGUCAACGGCAGCACGGACUUCGGUCUGGUGGCGAGUGGCGAACGGGUGAGUAAUGUAUCGGAACGUGCCCAGUCGUGGGGGAUAACGUAGUGAAAAUUACGCUAAUACCGCAUACGAUCUAUGGAUGAAAGCGGGGGAUCGCAAGACCUCGCGCGAUUGGAGCGGCCGAUAUCAGAUUAGGUAGUUGUUGGGGUAAAGGCCCACAAAGCCAACGAUCUGUAGCUGGUCUGAGAGGACGACCAGCCACACUGGAACUGAGACACGGUCCAGACUCCUACGGGAGGCAGCAGUGGGGAAUUUUGGACAAUGGGCGAAAGCCUGAUCCAGCCAUUCCGCGUGCAGGAUGAAGGCCCUCGGGUUGUAAACUGCUUUUGUACAGAACGAAAAGGUUUCUACUAAUACUAGGAGCUCAUGACGGUACUGUAAGAAUAAGCACCGGCUAACUACGUGCCAGCCGCCGCCGUAA
rnacentral:rRNA from 1 species